rnacentral:rRNA from 1 species
AUUGAACGCUGGCGGCAGGCCUAACACAUGCAAGUCGAGCGGAUGAAGGGAGCUUGCUCCUGGAUUCAGCGGCGGACGGGUGAGUAAUGCCUAGGAAUCUGCCUGGUAGUGGGGGAUAACGUCCGGAAACGGGCGCUAAUACCGCAUACGUCCUGAGGGAGAAAGUGGGGGAUCUUCGGACCUCACGCUAUCAGAUGAGCCUAGGUCGGAUUAGCUAGUUGGUGGGGUAAAGGCCUACCAAGGCGACGAUCCGUAACUGGUCUGAGAGGAUGAUCAGUCACACUGGAACUGAGACACGGUCCAGACUCCUACGGGAAGCAGCAGUGGGGAAUAUUGGACAAUGGACGAAAGCCUGAUCCAGCCAUGCCGCGUGUGUGAAGAAGGUCUUCGGAUUGUAAAGCACUUUAAGUUGGGAGGAAGGGCAGUAAGUUAAUACCUUGCUGUUUUGACGUUACCAACAGAAUAAGCACCGGCUAACUUCGUG